AUGAUGCAGGUGGCGGUGCACCUGUGGGGUGGCCGAGAGUGGGCCCCGAGUUCACGUGCACCCCCACAUGUGGAGAGCACACAACAGCGACAGCAGCAGCAGCCAGGAGGAGAGGAGGGAGGGCAAGAGAAGCACCGAGUGGAACGGGGCAGGCGGGCACGGAGGGCUGUGGGCUCGGGAGGAGAGGGGAACAGUGGGCCACUGGGAAGGGGGCUCACUUCCAGCAAGAGGGCACCUUCGCCUGGAGGCUGCAGCCCCAGUGGCUACGCAGGGCUGAGUGGCGGGCGAGCCUGCAGCACCUCCUCGAGGGCAGGAAGCUGCUGUUCCUGGAGGCCCGCGAGGAACACAAGCAACUCUUCGGUGCGACCUGCCGAUUGCUGUCACUCAAUGAGUCAGUAUGUGAAGGAAGGCGCAAGGCCUAGGACGACUUUAACAACUUCAGCAACUUUCUCAGCAUCUGCUAAGACUUCUUCAAAAAGAAGGGAGGAUGUGGGGGUGCCGCCCUCCGCUUCCGAUCUGGUUGAGAUGCAACAUCUGGAGAAGGGUCCAACAUCAAUGAAGUCCGCCCUACAGGAUAAGUCAACUACCGCCGCGGAAGAGACGGUAAUCACUCGCUCUUUUGCCUCAGUGGCUGAUCCCAACAAAAGUAAACGUCUCAGCACAGCAUGGAGAGGGAAGAGUACGUCAGGGACACCAGGUGAUGGACGGUUUGAUCUGCAGGCACAAUUUGAGAUAGAAGACGAGGCUAUGGCUGCAAUACCAGAUGCUAUUUCAGAAGACGAGGACCCCAAAAAGCGCUUAGUUAUUAGGAAGCGAUAUGUCAGGGGUGAUGAAAAUAAAGCAACCAGGGAUUAUGUCAUCAAAAAAGUGAUUAUGGAGGCCAUGGACUUUCCUAUUCUGUGGCUGAGGGCUGUCAUCCAGCUCGAUGCGUUCAAUGAAAUAGAUGUAUGCUUGAGACAUCAAGUGGCCUACCACAGGUUUUGGUCCAACUGUAGAAUUGUUGAUAAAUUAUUUCCUAAUCUUUUGACAGGGUUCCAGCUUGUUCCCCUGUUCAAAGCUGAUACAAGAGUGUUGACAAUUACCUUUAGGACAACAGUGGUGCUUGCAGAAGACGUGUCCAUCUGGCUGGAGAGGCAUGUGGCGGUUCUGAUGGGACCUCACAAACGGAAGGACCAGUAUGGUUUCUGGACAGGAAUGGAUGGGAAUGCAGUUAUGAAAUCCGGCAUACAUGAAGUAAACAAAGGAAGGACUCAGUCUAACCACACACACACACCCCGGAAGCUUUAGCAUCCUGUGUUGAAGCGGACUCCAAAUGGGGCAGCGGAGAAAAGUGUUGGUGGCUGGAGCUGGGCAGAUUUCCUGCCAAUCAAUUUCAUGGGAUGACCCAUGGUUCUAGUGUUAUGUGAGCGGGAGAAGAAUUUCUAUCCACUUUCUCCACACCAUGUUAUGCUGGUCUAUGACUGAAAUAAAAUAUGUUCUGUUUUACCC